UUCCGGUUGAUCCCGCCGGACCUGACUGCUAUCGGAUUGAUACUAAGCCAUGCGAGUCUUUGCAGUAAUGCAAGGCAUACGGCUCAGUAACACGUAGUCAACUUACCCUAUGGACGAGGAUAAUCUCGGGAAACUGAGCAUAAUACUCGAUAGAUCAUAAUGCCUGGAAUGGUUUAUGGUUGAAAUGAUUCGUCGCCAUAGGAUGGGACUGCGGCCUAUCAGCUUGUUGGUGAGGUAAUGGCCCACCAAGGCGAUUACAGGUACGGGCUCUGAGAGGAGAAGCCCGGAGAUGGGUACUGAGACAAGGACCCAGGCCCUAUGGGGCGCAGCAGGCGAGAAAACUUUGCAAUGUGCGAAAGCACGACAAGGUUAAUCCGAGUGAUUUCUGCUAAAGAAAUCUUUUGCAAGUCAUAAAACCACUAGUGAAUAAGGGGUGGGCAAGUUCUGGUGUCAGCCGCCGCGGUAAAACCAGCACCUCAAGUGGUCAGGAGGAUUAUUGGGCCUAAAGCAUCCGUAGCCGGCUCUGUAAGUUUUCGGUUAAAUCCAUGUGCUCAACGCAUGGGCUGCCGAAAAUACUGCAUAGCUAGGGAGUGGGAGAGGUAGACGGUACUCGGUAGGAAGGGGUAAAAUCCUUUGAUCUAUCGAUGACCACCUGUGGCGAAGGCGGUCUACCAGAACACGUUCGACGGUGAGGGAUGAAAGCUGGGGGAGCAAACCGGAUUAGAUACCCGGGUAGUCCCAGCUGUAAACGAUGCAGACUCGAUGAUGCAUUGGCAUAUAGCCAGUGCAGUGUCGCAGGGAAGCCGUUAAGUCUGCCGCCUGGGAAGUACGUACGCAAGUAUGAAACUUAAAGGAAUUGGCGGGGGAGCACCACAAGGGGUGAAGCCUGCGGUUCAAUUGGAAUCAACGCCGGA
rnacentral:rRNA from 1 species